UACGUAGGGUGCAAGCGUUAAUCGGAAUUACUGGGCGUAAAGCGUGCGCAGGCGGUGAUGUAAGACAGAUGUGAAAUCCCCGGGCUUAACCUGGGAACUGCAUUUGUGGCUGCAAGACUAGAGUGCGGCAGAGGGGGGUAGAAUUCCACGUGUAGCAGUGAAAUGCGUAGAUAUGUGGAGGAAUACCGAUGGCGAAGGCAGCCCCCUGGGAUAACACUGACGCUCAUGUACGAAAGCGUGGGUAGCAAACAGG
rnacentral:rRNA from 1 species